CUCAUCUUCAGGUGGCUGGCUUUCCUCUGCCCUGGGGAAUAUGCUGUGUCAGGGAUUCAGCCUUGGCUUCUGCUAUUGGCAGGCUGAGGAGGAGGAAGAGGAAGGUUGGCCUUGCUGUCUCAGGAGUGGUAGAAGCAGAAGAGGUGGAAGACAUGGAAUGGGAGGCAGGAGAGGCAGGCAUACUUGAUGCAUCUCCCUGAUAAGAAGUCUGAAUAGAUAGCAGCCAAGUUACUAAACACCUUCCUUCUGCAAGACAAACAGAAGAUAGAAACAAAUUCAUACAAGAUGUUUAGAUAGGAAGAAGGAGAAAUUUGAAAAAGAACAUUAAAGGGUAAUACCUAAUGCUGCAUCAAUGUCAUGCUUACUGGAAGUGGCAUUUUGGAGGAUCAAAUAUUUAUGAAUUCAACUGCCCACAAUAGAGCCUAUUUUAGCAACCACUGGGACAGACAUCUAAAACGAGGCUGCAAUGAGAGGAGUUGAAGAACUGGCCUUUCUGACCAUAAGAUAAGCAUAAAAAUCUACUUUGGUUUAUCUUAAAAUCUAUUAAAUAU